CGCCGCCAAUCUUCAAUCCGCACAGCUGACGGGGAUUACAGACAACCAGAUAAAAGGCCUCACCGCUGAUCACUCGACGUUGGAACAUCGCUCUGCUCGCAUCCCGUGCCUUAUUGCUCACUCCCUUUUCCCUGGACCCGGAUUGCCUUCUCGAUAUUGACACCUUCCUUGGACCUUGGACGCUCUCUCCUGCAUCACAUACCCUUUGGACAUCGGACUUCUUUGCCUCUCCCUUUUCAGAAUUUGGACUCUCUCAUUCAACAGACUUGACAACACUCCUUAAGGUAUUUACGGAUGUUAAUUCCAGCACAUAACUCGCAUGCAUAACACAUACUAACGUACACAUCCCACGUAUUCAUCAAGCACUCAAUAAAAAUAUAUAUUGAGUUGUA